rnacentral:rRNA from 1 species
CAUAGCCUCUAGCACAAAAUAUUAGAGGUCCCGCCUGCCCAGUGACACCAACCUGUUAAACGGCCGCGGUAUACUAACCGUGCAAAGGUAGCGUAAUCACUUGUCCCCUAAAUAGGGACUAGUAUGAACGGCUAAAUGAGGGCCUACCUGUCUCCUUUAACCAAUCAGUGAAAUUGAUCUGCCAGUACAAAAGCUGACAUCAACCCAUAAGACGAGAAGACCCUGUGGAGCUUCAAAUGAAAAUCAACCCUAUACCAUGAACCACCAUUUUUAGUUGGGGCGACUACGGAAAAAAACCAAACUUCCAAGCCACAAACCCACCAAGACCAACAUGUCCAUCACUGACCCAGUACCACUGAAUAACGAACCAAGUUACCCCAGGGAUAACAGCGCUAUCUUCUUUCAGAGUCCCCAUCGCCAAGAAGGUUUACGACCUCGAUGUUGGAUCAGGACACCCAAAUGGUGCAGCCACUAUUAAUGGUUCGUUUGUUCAACGAUUAAUGUCCUACGUGAUCU